rnacentral:rRNA from 1 species
CCAGACUCCUACGGGAGGCAGCAGUGAGGAAUAUUGGUCAAUGGGCGAGAGCCUGAACCAGCCAAGUCGCGUGAAGGAUGACGGCCCUACGGGUUGUAAACUUCUUUUGUCGGGGAGCAAAGCGAACCACGUGUGGUUCAUUGAGAGUACCCGAAGAAAAAGCAUCGGCUAACUCCGUGCCAGCAGCCGCGGUAAUACGGAGGAUGCGAGCGUUAUCCGAAUUUAUUGGGUUUAAAGGGUGCGCAGGCGGAGGUGCAAGUCAGCGGUCAAAUUGCGGGGCUCAACCCCGUACUGCCGUUGAAACUGCAUCCCUUGAGUGCGCGAGAAGUAUGCGGAAUGCGUGGUGUAGCGGUGAAAUGCAUAGAUAUCACGCAGAACUCCGAUUGCGAAGGCAGCAUACCGGCGCGCAACUGACGCUCAUGCGCGAAAGCGUGGGUAUCGAACAGGAUUAGAUACCCGCGUA